UUGAGCGAUUUACUUCGGUAAAGAGCGGCGGACGGGUGAGUAACGCGUGGGUAACCUACCCUGUACACACGGAUAACAUACCGAAAGGUAUGCUAAUACGGGAUAAUAUAUUUGAGAGGCAUCUCUUAAAUAUCAAAGGUGAGCCAGUACAGGAUGGACCCGCGUCUGAUUAGCUAGUUGGUAAGGUAACGGCUUACCAAGGCGACGAUCAGUAGCCGACCUGAGAGGGUGAUCGGCCACAUUGGAACUGAGACACGGUCCAAACUCCUACGGGAGGCAGCAGUGGGGAAUAUUGCACAAUGGGCGCAAGCCUGAUGCAGCAACGCCGCGUGAGUGAUGAAGGCCUUCGGGUCGUAAAACUCUGUCCUCAAGGAAGAUAAUGACGGUACUUGAGGAGGAAGCCCCGGCUAACUACGUGCCAGCAGCCGCGGUAA
rnacentral:rRNA from 1 species